AUUAUGAUUACCGGGUGGUUGAUUUGAGUUAGUUAUUUGGGGCUCCUAUAAAAGGGCUUCUUUUUGCAUGCUGCAGCGUCUGCCUUGGGUUCCCCCCUCCCCCUUCCGCUUCACCGCGUGGCUCAGAGGUAUGUUUGGCUUUGUGUGUGAGGGAGAAACGCACGUGUAAGUCGGCGUUUAGUUAAUUUAUUUGUUUUAUUUAGAGCGUUUUGUUGCUGUCUCAUCCUCUGAAACUGCACUCGAGUCUGGCUUAUCCCAGUUCUCAGGUAAAUGCUCCGUAUAUGCAGCGUAAUUUGGUAGUAUAGCGCUGUACCCGUGAGUUACUGUUUGUUUUGGUUUCAGUUUAACUCCUCAGUGGGAAUUGUUGGCGUCUGACCAAUUGUAACGCUGCCUGACGGCAUUUUCAUCAGCUCUCGGGUCCAGCCGAUCUGGUGUGAUUACUGGCUGUUGCAUGAAGAUAGCAUCCUGUAACGGUGAAAUAAGCUGCCGUUUUGCCUCCAGAGAAGUUUAAUGAAGCUCUAAGACACUUUUAUUCUCUUAAGUGUGUUGAUAACUGUGGUGGGAACCUAUAUCAUUCUGUGCUAAAUUAUCGGACUGCAGCUUGUGCUCAUGCACACUGUUUUAUAGCUUUAAAGCUCUACUCUUACUUACUUACUAUUUGUUUAUAAAACUCCGUCUACUAUCAGUGCAACUAUAUUACACCUGUGGUGUAUGCAUUGUUAUUUUUGUGCACUGAUGCUUCAUCUGUAAAUUGUUUGCUGUGUGCAAUAGUUAAUCCAAUCUAAACUGUAUUUUGAGCCAUUGUAUUGUGGUCCUUUUUAUAUUUCUGAUUUUAUUUGGUAGUUGUGGAGUAGGUGCAUGAGGGAUCCAGGAGGGGAGAUUUAAGUAUUAUUUUCACUUUGCUUUACUGGUUGGGAUUUGAUUUAUUUUCUGGCACGGGUGACUUUUGUUGUGAUUUUGAUAUUUUUUUAGUUAAAUUUUGGCCCCCACCUGGUGAGCUUCAGCCCUACAACAAUUAAAAUUAGCUUCUUUGUAAUUUCUUAACUCAAAUGACCUGUUGUUGAUUUUAAUGUGUUUUUGAGCAUUGAGUGGUUCUGGUGAUAUUAAUCUUAAAAUUUUCUCUGUUUUGCA